rnacentral:lncRNA from 1 species
GUUCUUCAUUAUACAGUCCAGGAUGGAAACAUCUCCCUGCUCAGAUACUUCUUGGAGCUGAACUCUUUCAAGUCCAAGGAUUUUGUCAACAACAAGGCUCACGGCAACACAGCUUUGCAUAUGGCAGCUGCAUUGCAUCAUGACAAGAACCAGAAAGAAAUCAUCCAGUUGCUCCUUGACCACGGGGCAGACCCGAGCAUCCGAAACUUAGACAACGAUCAGCCAAUCCACAUGGCUCCUCCUGGGAAGGCUGGGGAUCAGAUAAGGCAUUUGCUGAAGAAAGGGAGAGUUGCAUCUGCAUUUGUUUCCUGUCACCGAAAUGCCAGAUCAUAGGUUGCCUGCAGUUUCUGGCCUGGCUUCAACUUCAGCUUGCUGGUUGCACAAGGUCUUUUAAAAAAGCUGUGAGGAUGGUCAACCAGAGUGUCUCUGUCCCUAGAGUUUUUAAACCAAGGUGACGUGACAGUGUUUCUCAACCUGUGGACCACUAGCAGCAUGUAAUGUAUCAUAGAUGGACUUCGAAAUGAUUGAAAGCUUUAUGGCAAAAGAACUGACAAGCCUCAAACAUACUGUAUUGCUUGUAAGCAAGAAGACAAGCAAAAUGAAUGGCUGCUACAUAGACGUACAGCCAAACUUUGAUUUCGUGGCAAUUGAAAACUGUGGUGGCAAGAGAACACAAGACUGUCCUUUAGAUAAAAAAGGCUGAGAAACACUGCUCUAACACAUGCUAGAACUGUGCCUCUUGUUAGGUCCUGUACAGAGGUACUGGGUGAAACGCUGAAGCCUUUGUGGUGUGCAGUUAUCCCAACUGUCCCUGCUAGCCUGAAAAUGCCAAGCCAGGCCAAGGAGUUAUCCUUGGCAUGGCUGUAUCACGUCUGAGUGAGCAGAAGAACAUCUGAGCACAGCACCUUCAAGUGAGAGUUUCUGGAGUUGCUGCUAACCCCUUUCUUGGCACUUCGUGGAGGAAAGCUGAAGCAGCUCGUCGUUGCUACAGUCCCUCACCCCGCUCUAAGAAAGGAAAACAGAUGUCUGUAAGAGUGAGUGUGUGGGGCAGGCUCCCAGCAGCGGUGGUUCGUGUGGCUCCUGAGAGCUUCCCAGUGGAAGGGAUGCUUCCGAGACAUCUGAUCUGAGCCAGCUCUGAUGGCAAAGCGCAGUGGAAAGYGUGGCUCUGAAAGCACCCUGGAGCGGGGACCUGAACCCGCGUUUGAGCUCAUGCCUUGCAGUGCAGGAGAUGGAGUCCUCAACAGCAUUUAGGGAUGGACGUGGCAGAAAAGCUUUGAGUGGUGUGGGCCUGAGCACAGGAUCAAGGUGCAAUGUGGAAAGUGCUCUCCUAUUCCUUUGCUURUCUUAGGGGGCAUUUUAAUAGAUUCUUAUUCUUUCUGUGAAAUGAUUUGUGAAUUGCUGUGCAAUCAACCAGCAAUGAUGUCUCUGCUGGGUCACCAGGAGUGAAAGUAAAUGCCUAAGGGGAGGGAAAGCUAUGUUUUGACAACCCAUUCACGAAGGGUGGCUUAUCUCUAGUGAGUGUUCUGAAUUUGCUGUUUUUUCAGUGUUGCACAAGUUAUUUCUUCUAACAGGACUGAACAAAAAGGUAAAGGGCAGAUCCUCUUAAAUCACUGCAGUAACUUCCUUGAUCAUCCACUGACUGACUCCUCUGCAAGACUGGGGUUUCUAAAGCACUUGUGAGUUUUGCAAACCUAGACUGUUUAAACAACUGUUUAGCAGGCUGGAACAAAAGCUCUUAAGAAAUGCAGAUAUCCUGAUUAGAGAUCUCUGUGACUUUCUCAGCCCUCCUCCUUGCUGUUUUUGCUACUGGUUCUCAGUACAUCAUGCCUACAAACCUGCCAACAUCCUCUGACAAAAAAAAGUAGACUUGUAUUUGCAUGUGUUUGCAUAAAUUUGCAUACAUCUGGGCACAGGCCAGCUAAAGCAUGUGCUUUCUUACUUUGAAGCGAUGCUGUAACAAGCCCUGGAUCAAGUGAUAACUGCAUUUGUGACUCAGUGCUAUGUGUCAAGUCAAAAAUGGUCAAUAAAUUAUCUAUUUCUUGAACUUGCUAGCA